rnacentral:rRNA from 1 species
UGUGUAGGAGGUAUGAUAAGUCUGGCGUGAAAUCCCGCUGCUUAACAGUGGAACUGCGUUGGAUACUAUUGUGCUAGAGGAUCGGAGAGAGAGCGGAAUUCUUGGUGUAGCGAUGAAAUGCGUAGAUAUCAAGAGGAACACCAGCGGCGAAAGCGGCUCUCUGGACGAUUCCUGACUCUGAAACACGAAAGCCAGGGUAGCAAACG